rnacentral:rRNA from 1 species
UACGGGGGGGGCAAGCGUUGUUCGGAAUUACUGGGCGUAAAGGGCGCGUAGGCGGCCUUCUAAGUCGGACGUGAAAUCCCUCGGCUUAACCGAGGAACUGCGUCCGAUACUGAAAGGCUUGAAUCCGGGAGAGGGAUGUGGAAUUCCAGGUGUAGCGGUGAAAUGCGUAGAUAUCUGGAGGAACACCGGUGGCGAAGGCGGCAUCCUGGACCGGCAUUGACGCUGAGGCGCGAAAGCUAGGGUAGCGAAUGGG